rnacentral:snRNA from 1 species
AUAGCCAAGGAGACUGCC